CCAAAUUUGCGCCUAUGUUCUACCCAUGAAUAACAGAGGACGACUCUUUCCAUUCCAAACAAGAUUGAAUUUCACAAGCACACAUGUCUUUUCUCCUUGCCUUCUGUUCCCGGUUGGGAGGCUUGGUUGGUGCUUGAAGAAGGGUCGUUAUGCUCAGUGAGUCGGAACUAGAGAAUACGAAGACGCGCGCGCGCGCGCUCUUUUUCUCUUGCUCUUGAUAUCGCUCUCGCUCUCGCGCUACCGUCACAAUUUGUCUGUAGCAGUGGCGGCAACGACUUCCCAUUGGUUCUCCCUUUGAUAUCCAGGUGUAUCUCUCAUCUGCUCUACGCUGUUGUUUUCUUCUCAUUUUCUGGGAGGAUGCUUGUAGUUUCUUUUUUUUUUUUUUUUCCUUCUCUUUUCCCUAAGAAAAUUGUAUUUUAUUUAUUUAUUUAUUUAACUUUAUUGUUAAAGACUGAAUCUUAGUGGAAGAUCAAGAAAUGUUAUGUAGGGUUGUUUCUCAAGGUUGUUAGUUGAGAUAGAUGUGCUUCAGUCUUCACCAAAAAGUGAAAGGAAGUGAGUUUUGUCUGUGGGAGAAGAAAGCUAUAUCAGGCUAAGGCCAGAGGAGCAUGUGGGUUGAUAUCCACAUGUGAUUGUGUGUUAUGUGGUUGUAGAAAAGGAGCUUUGGUGGUACAUUUCUUGUUGGAGAUGUUUGAUGGUGCCUUUAGGAUUCUUACUAUUAGGGAAAAACCUUGGGGCUAUUUUUUUAUUUUAUAUUUUUGAGUGCAAGGGGUGCCUAAGGAAGAGUUUGUUGACAGACCUAGAAUUGAACCAAGGUUGGUCAUUAAUUUUGAGUAUGAACAAAAAAAAAGAAAAAAAUAACAAGAAUUUUAGUCUGAAUUGAACCAAAUUGAACUAAACUUUUGGUUGUCUAUCUUAUAAUGAAUAUUUUAGAAAUACUCAUUUGCACGAAGCCACCAGCUAGUGCAAAUUUUGUCUGUUAAAGGCUUAUUGAUCUGCUAAAAUCAAGACUUAGCUCAAAAGAUCUUGAGUUAUACUAGUGAUGCUUGGUAGGUGGCUCAGUGGAGUUGCCCUAGAACUUUCAUAAAGAGCAACAUAGAUAUUUCUUUAUACUUACAUGAAAGAAGUUCAAAAUUUUAGCUGAUGAAUUCAACACCCUUCAUUCAAAAUAGUCUAUAGAAUUAAUAAAGAAGUUGUUGACAAGCUUUCAUACAGUUUUCUCUUUUUUGGAUGUGUCUGGACACACACAUGACAAAGUAUUUAGAAUUAUUAUUUUAUGCUCUGACCAAAUAGUUUCAUCUUGCCCCAUUUUAACAUCUUGUUGCAGACAUAUGUACACACGUGUUUAGUCAGGUGUACAUUAAUAAAUUUCCAAUUCUUCUGUCAUUUUACAGAUCCAAAAUGAAGGAUAUUAUUUGUAAUUGAGAGUUAAAGAUGCUCUGCUAAAUGCUCUUCUUAUGGCUGCUAAAAGAUUUAGUUCAGGCACCUCACAAAUGCUUUCUCUUCUUUUUCCUGAUUGGAUCUGUGGGUGCUCUAAUACUUGAAAGAGAUGCAAUUUUUGGGAUAUUCUGUCAGAAAGCUCGGUUGAAUGUUAGAUUUUGCUGAUGCAUCUUGUUUUUAUUUUAUUUUAUUGUUUUGUUUUAUUUUGGUGUUGUAUUUAUCAUUUGAAUGAAGUGUUUAUUUAUGUAUAUGUUUCGGGUUACUUAAAGAAGUGUUUGAUU